AAAAAAAAAAUUGAGAGAUGAUUCGCACAUUGUUAUAACAUAGUAAAACUUAAACCACCUCUUCUUCCAUUCAAACUUAGAGAAUAAUUUAAUUUCUGAAUACGAAAAUAAAAACUAAGAAGAUCAGUUGUUAAAUUUAAUAGCUGCAGUAUAGCACUACCAAACAUCUACCACUAAAUUGUCAAAUAAAUCUAAACAGUUCAUGUCAAAAUAUAAAAUAAUGGAUUUUCAAGAACAAAAAGAGAAACAGAAGGUAUUGACAGAUUGGGAAAAAGAAAAAUAACCAUCCAAAAUAUGCA
rnacentral:misc_RNA from 1 species